AUUGAACGCUGGCGGCAUGCUUUACACAUGCAAGUCGAACGGUAACAGGCCGCAAGGUGCUGACGAGUGGCGAACGGGUGAGUAAUGCAUCGGAACGUGCCCAGUCGUGGGGGAUAACAACUCGAAAGAGUAGCUAAUACCGCAUACGAUCUAUGGAUGAAAGCGGGGGACCGUAAGGCCUCGCGCGAUUGGAGCGGCCGAUGUCAGAUUAGGUAGUUGGUGGGGUAAAGGCUCACCAAGCCAACGAUCUGUAGCUGGUUUGAGAGGACGACCAGCCACACUGGGACUGAGACACGGCCCAGACUCCUACGGGAGGCAGCAGUGGGGAAUUUUGGACAAUGGGCGCAAGCCUGAUCCAGCAAUGCCGCGUGCAGGAAGAAGG
rnacentral:rRNA from 1 species